GUGGGGAAUAUUGCACAAUGGGCGAAAGCCUGAUGCAGCAACGCCGCGUGAGGGACGACGGCCUUCGGGUUGUAAACCUCUUUUAGUAGGGAAGAAGCGAAAGUGACGGUACCUGCAGAAAAAGCACCGGCUAACUACGUGCCAGCAGCCGCGGUAAUACGUAGGGUGCAAGCGUUAUCCGGAAUUAUUGGGCGUAAAGAGCUCGUAGGCGGUCUGUCGCGUCUGCUGUGAAAACUGGAGGCUCAACCUCCAGCCUGCAGUGGGUACGGGCAGACUAGAGUGCGGUAGGGGAGAUUGGAAUUCCUGGUGUAGCGGUGGAAUGCGCAGAUAUCAGGAGGAACACCGAUGGCGAAGGCAGAUCUCUGGGCCGUAACUGACGCUGAGGAGCGAAAGCGUGGGGAGCGAACAGGAUUAGAAACCCCUGUAGUCC
rnacentral:rRNA from 1 species